rnacentral:lncRNA from 1 species
AGACAGCCUCAGAGCUGGUGGGGAGACAGCAUGCCACUGGAAAAAUUCGUAGACAUGGAAUUCCUGGAUCAAAUGAUGUAAAAUGGGGAUGCUAACAGCAUGUUUAGAACAGUGUCUGGCACAUAGUAACCAUUAUAUGGAGUCUUGCUCUGCUGCCCAGGCUGGAGUGCAGUGGUGCAAUCUCGGCUCACUGUAACCUCCAUCUCCCGGGUUCAAGCACUUCUUCUGCCUCGGCCUCCCAAGUAGCUGGGAUUACAGGAGGAGAUGGAAGAUUGAGAGCAGAGUGCAAGAAUGGGAAGAGGGCUUCGUGCCCUGUGCACGUUUGCCACCUAGUGACCAAACUGAAUGGUGUGCUUCUCACCUCAGCGUGAUAGCCUGACCUUGACUCCUGAGUUCCACGAUCGCUUCACAACUGCAAGUCACCAUCAUACAAAAUUUGAGUUUCCCUAAGUCCGCGCCUUUGAGAGCUUUGGAACGAUAUGCAAGUUCAAGUCACCAUCCUGUUUCUUGCUACCUCCUGUGAGAAGACCAACAUUUGGGUUACACUUGUUUCUACUCUUGUUCUUCUGCUUGUUAUUGUUGCCUCUGCAGCCAUUGAUCACACACGUGUUGUCAUACAAAAACUGGUUAGCCUUUUUAUUUGUCUUGUGAAUUUUAUCAUUUGGUUCUUAAGUAUUACAAAUUAAUAUUGUGUACUCUCAUUGAUAUACAACUUGCAGUCAUUGUAAAUAUGCGUGAGUUAGGGGUGAGAAUGGCAUGCAAGCAAAAGAACAAGGAGAGGGAUGAUAGAGAUGCAAGAAGAGUAAAGAGGGCAAGAAAGUUUAUGUUAAUAGCGAACACAAUGAAAGUUCUUUAAAUGCUUGAUAAUGGUGAAAGCAACACUUCCUAGGGCAUAUUUUUGGUGUUAAUGAACCUACACAUCAUACAAUAAAGAAAAUUGAGAAAGCAGUUGGGGCCAGUGAAUCGGGGGCACACAAGAAUCACUGAGAAAAUCAUACACAACUCAAAAUGCCACAAUAGGGAAAAUAUAAAGAGAUUUGCACUUGUGGCUUCUAAAACAGAGAAGGUUGAAUAGGUCUCUUUCUGUGUGUAAAAUCUGCCAGUGAGCAUCACAAAAAUGCAAAUUUAAAUUUCAAUCUGGAUGGAAAGUUAUAAAAUUCAUUGCAAGUAAUGGGUGGUUGGGUAGGUUUAAGAAAUGCCAGGUGGGUGGAUCACUUGAGGUCUGGAGUUUGCAACUAGCCUGGCCAACAUGGUGAAACCUUGUCUCUAC